rnacentral:lncRNA from 1 species
UCUGAGUAUCUUCAAGCAACGGCAAACAACAUUACCUUGGUUCUGUCCAGCUACGUAGCAUUUCCAUAUUUUGAAAGUCUGGCCCAAGUUAUGUGAAGCACUCUGUAUAAUCACGCAUACAAAGC